UCGCUGGCCACUAAAUAGAGAGACGUUCGAGGCUCUGGAACCAGGGUACUGGAUAACUCCCGUCGUAUUCAAACCGUUUAUUGACAGAAGAAAAGGCUUUCUGAUUUGAUUUUGCAAUGAAUGUGAUGGGGCAGUGGUGGUUCCAAAUCUAGAAAUAAGUAUAGUGUCAGUAUCUAAAUACGGAAAAGAAAUCUGUUUUCACAAAUAAUAAUCUUACCAUGAGUCACUCCAAUGAUAUUAUUUUAAAAGUGACGUUAAUUAUAGACAUUUGAAUGCAUAGAAAUGAUGCAAUGCGGAAAUUCCCGUCACUUUUAGGGAUAUAAAAUAUCCCCUUUUAUGUAACAUAACCAUGACGCACUGGCGCGGGAUACAGGGUAAUCUGUAUUAGCAAGCGUAAAAUCCCCUUCACUUGUGAAAACAAGUUCAAGAUUGCGGAAUUCUCCUUGCGUUUUUACGUAUGCAAAGUCUGCUGGGUCUCCGUCGUGGGAAAAGACGUGACGUUUGAUGUUAUAAUUAAAAAAAUGAGAACCUUAGCAAAAAUGGGGUGAGAUCUUACCAUCUCGAUAAAUUAUGCCGAGGAUAGAAGUAAUGUCGCGAUAUUUGCGUGAAUGGUACACAAAAGAAAAGGUAAUUGAGUUGAUGCGCCCUGGAUAAAAUUUCCCCGACCUACCGCUGCGAGUAUCCGCAUGACCCUUGCCGCGUGCUGGUGACGUGAUCGUAAUAGGAUACCUUACAGACCACAGUGUUUACAGAACCAAAUUCAAAUGUAACCGUUAAAAAGGCAUCAGUUUGUAGAGAGGUCCGGAGAUACCGAAGACAAGAGAAGUUGUUAUAACCGAGGCCGACCAUGAGCGUAAAUCACGUGUUGCUCCUGACUAUUUUGCUUAUCGUCGCCACGACAACCAGCCGAGGGAACCCAUUCAAGAUCGCCUACGCGAACCAGCAAUGCAAGCUCAGCGGCUAUACCAUGGAAGUGACCGUUCACUCGUGCCAGCCCCGUAAAAUCUCCGUGAACACGUGUGUAGGGACAUGUGUGUCGUCAGCUCUCCCUGCCGCUGGUCUCAGGAUCGAGCCCGCAUGCACCUGUUGCCAGGAAAUUGAAAGUCACGAAGUCGAGGUCGGACUGUGGUGCCAAGCCUCCCCUAAUUCUGCUUGGACACAGGAAUACCACGUGAUAAAGACAGCCACUAAAUGCGCGUGCAGGCCUUGCUGAAAUGUCAUGGAUCAAUGCGAACAAAAACAACAAAGUACGGAUAAAGAAACCUGCAGACUUAACUGAUUGCGUUGGCAUUGACAGAAAGGAUGAACUGGCUUUCACUUGUCUCACAGAAGAGAUAGGCUAACUAGUGCAGUUACGUAAAAUCAACACUUGUAUAAACAUGAGGACUACGGAGUUAAAAAGUUUUUGGAGAGAGUAAGGCCAAAUAUCACAAAAGUGUAUAACACGUGUAUUGCUGCACAAAGUGCCGCGCUAACAAGUGCGUGACAAGGCCGAUAGGCUGUGCGGGCGCUCGUAUGGAUAUUAGAACAGGUCUAGCAUUAGGCAAUUUGGCGACCUAGAUGGAAGGGAAGGGGAGGGGAGGGGUGGGAUGCGCCAAACCCCCCGUCGCGCCAUAUGAGCACGGCCGUUUCCUAAUCGUUUCUUUGUUUGCUGAGGUUUACGGUGGGCAGGUUGAUGCUUUUCAAGGGUAAGGAUUAACCCAUGCUUCACUUACAAUGAUGAUUUGAGUGGCACAAUGGUCGAAAGUAUAUUACCAAGACAACGUUGAAAUACCAUGGUUACACACGGAUAGUUUUAUUAAAUAUAUACGACUUAUAUGCUGUAUUCUUAGUUGAUAUAUACGAAAGAAAUAUCUUCAAAUAAACAAAAUUAAAUUCCUUUUCAA